CGCAGAGAGAGCCAGGUCUGCCUGGAGAUGAUGCUCUCCCACCACAAUGCUUAAUCAAUGACCAACAGGCCAGAAGAAAGCUCAGCUUCCUUGCCUCAGUCCGGGCAGACCCUGAGGUGUAAUUUACCGCACUUCGAGGCCCGGUGGGAUCAGGCGGAUGAGGCUGGUUGUUGAAGAAAUGAGAUGUUCUUCCCAGUGUUCGCUUCCAUUUCUUCUCUCCACUCGGAGCUGAAACACCCACUCCCUCCGGAGAUUUGUUUAAAUACUACAUGAAUGAGCCUAUAUUGAACCGGGUCCACAAGGGCACAAGCACCUCCUCAGCCAAUAACACGAGAAACAGUUUGCAGAAACCAAAAGUACCACUCUCAACCACUUGCCCCUUCAACAAGAGGUACGACUUUUAACAAAAAGAAUGCUAGGACAGCAGGAAUAUGCCACGCAAUGUGCCGGGAUGAGCUGUCAGUGCUUUUAGCAGAUAAUCAGAGCCCUGCCUUAAACUGCCCUUUCUUGCCAUUUGCUGAAUAUUCGUUCAUGGGAAGUAGCCAGGAAAGUGAAUUGAAAAGACUAUGCUCUGGAAAUGAGAUGUCCUACAGAUUUGUAGGCUCGUUAAUUAGGUCAACGUUAAUAGUUUCUGCAGGACUACAAGGGUUUUACUCAAAAAGAUCCUUGGCCACCUAUGUCUCAGUCAAGGACAUGUCACAAUUGUGAGCACUCGAAGGAGCAGCUGCAAUCAAGUGAAGUCGCUAUCGGCUGUGUGUCCGCUGGCAGGGAAAGGCCGACGGCCUCCUGCCAUUUGUGAUAUUCUUUGAGGACGCAGGAGAGUGCAGGAGGGAAG
rnacentral:lncRNA from 1 species